rnacentral:rRNA from 1 species
UAGGGAAUCUUCGGCAAUGGACGAAAGUCUGACCGAGCAACGCCGCGUGAGUGAAGAAGGUUUUCGGAUCGUAAAACUCUGUUGUUAGAGAAGAACAAGGAUGAGAAGAGAAUGUUCAUCCCUUGACGGUAUCUAACCAGAAAGCCACGGCUAACUACGUGCC